rnacentral:rRNA from 1 species
GACGAACGCUGGCGGCGUGCUUAACACAUGCAAGUCGAACGGAAAGGCCCUGCUUUUGUGGGGUGCUCGAGUGGCGAACGGGUGAGUAACACGUGAGUAACCUGCCCUUGACUUUGGGGUAACUUCAGGAAACUGGGGCUAAUACCGGAUAGGAGCUCCUGCUGCAUGGUGGGGGUUGGAAAGUUUCGGCGGUUGGGGAUGGACUCGCGGCUUAUCAGCUUGUUGGUGGGGUAGUGGCUUACCAAGGCUUUGACGGGUAGCCGGCCUGAGAGGGUGACCGGCCACAUUGGGACUGAGAAACGGCCCAGACUCCUACGGGAGGCAGCAGUGGGGAAUAUUGCACAAUGGGCGGAAGCCUGAUGCAGCAACGCCGCGAGCGGGAUGACGGCCUUCGGGUUGUAAACCGCUUUCGCCUGUGACGAAGCGUGAGUGACGGUAAUGGGUAAAGAAGCACCGGCUAACUACGUG